AAAGCGUGGGGAGCGAACCGGAUUAGAUACCCGGGUAGUCCACGCUGUAAACGAUGAGUACUAGGUGUUGGGGGUAUCGACCCCCUCUGUGCCGAAGCUAACGCGAUAAGUACUCCGCCUGAGGACUACGGCCGCAAGGCUAAAACUCAAAGGAAUUGACGGGGGCCCGCACAAGCAGCGGAGCGUGUGGUUUAAUUCGAUGGUACGCGAAGAACCUUACCUGGGUUUGAAAUGCAUGUGGUACUGAUGUGAAAGCUGAGGGACCCCUCGGGGAGCAUGCACAGGUGUUGCACGGCCGUCGUCAGCUCGUGCCGUGAGGUGUUGGGUUAAGUCUCGCAACGAGCGCAACCCCUGUCGUCAGUUGUACUUUUCUGACGAGACUGCCGGGAAACCCCCGGAGGAAGGAGGGGAUGAUGUCAGGUCAGCGUGGCCCUUACGUCCAGGGCUACACACACGCUACAAUGGGUGGUCCAACGGGUCGCGAAGCCGCGAGGUGGAGCUAAUCCCAUCAAAGCCAUCCUCAGUUCGGAUUGCAGGCUGAAACUCGCCUGCAUGAAGCCGGAGUUGCUAGUAACCGCAGGUCAGCACUACUGCGGUGAAUACGUUCCCGGGCCUUGUACACACCGCCCGUCACGUCAUGAAAGUUGGCAACACCUGAAGCCGCUCGGCUAACCGCAAGGAAGCAAGCGUCGAGGGUGGGGCCAGCGAUUGGGACGAAGUCGUAACAAGGUAGCCGUAGCGGAAGCUGCGGCUG
rnacentral:rRNA from 1 species